AGGUUACUGCUAUCGAGAUUCGACUAAGCCAUGCGAGUUGAAUGUUCUUCGUGAACAUGGCGGACUGCUCAGUAACACGUGGACAACCUACCCUUUGGUCCGGCAUAAUCCUGGGAAACUGGGGAUAAUUCCGGAUAUGCCACAGAUGCUGGAAUGCACUGUGGCUCAAAGCUCCGGCGCCCAAGGAUGGGUCUGCGGCCUAUCAGGGUUGUAGUGGGUGUAAUGUACCUACUAGCCUACGACGGGUACGGGUUGUGAGAGCAAGAGCCCGGAGAUGGAUUCUGAGACACGAAUCCAGGCCCUACGGGGUGCAGCAGGCGCGAAAACUUUACAAUGCGGGAAACCGUGAUAAGGGAAUCUCGAGUGCCAGCAUAUAAUGUUGGCUGUCCAGAUGCCUAAAAAGCAUCUGUUAGCAAGGGCCGGGCAAGACCGGUGCCAGCCGCCGCGGUAACACCGGCGGCCCGAGUGGUAACCGCUUUUAUUGGGUCUAAAGGGUCUGUAGCCGGCCAGGUAAGUCCCUUGGGAAAUCUGGCAGCUCAACUGUCAGGCUGCUAGGGGAUACUGUUUGGCUUGGGACCGGGAGAGGUGAGAGGUACCUUGGGGGUAGGGGUGAAAUCUUGUGAUCCUCGGGGGACCACCAGUGGCGAAGGCGUCUCACCAGAACGGGUCCGACGGUAAGGGACGAAAGCUAGGGGCACGAACCGGAUUAGAUACCCGGGUAGUCCUAGCCGUAAACGAUGCUCGCUAGGUGUCAGUCACGGUGCGACCGUGAUUGGUGCCGUAGGGAAGCCGUGAAGCGAGCCACCUGGGAAGUACGGCCGCAAGGCUGAAACUUAAAGGAAUUGGCGGGGGAGUACUACAACGGGUGGAGCCUGCGGUUU
rnacentral:rRNA from 1 species